rnacentral:rRNA from 1 species
AUUGAACGCUGGCGGCAGGCCUAACACAUGCAAGUCGAACGAGUGGCGGACGGGUGAGUAAUGUCUGGGAAACUGCCCGAUGGAGGGGGAUAACUACUGGAAACGGUAGCUAAUACCGCAUACCAUCGGAUGUGCCCAGAUGGGAUUAGGUAGUAGGUGGGGUAACGGCUCACCUAGGGGAAGAUCCCUAGCUGGUCUGAGAGGCUGACCAGCCACACUGGAAUGGAGACACGGUCCAGACCCCUACGGGAGGAAGCAUGGGGGAAGUUUGCACAAUGGGCGCAAGCUGGAUGCAGCCAUGCCGGGUGUAUGAAGAAGGCCUUCGGGUUGUAAAGUACUUUCAGCGGGGAGGCGUUACCCGCAGAAGAAGCACCGGCUAACUCCGUGCCAGCAGCCGCGGUAAUU